UCCUUCAACGUCAGCCUCUCCUGAAG
rnacentral:misc_RNA from 1 species